UUUGACGUACUUGAAUCAAGCCAUUUUAAGGGGUCAAGCUACUCCUUAGUUAUUUAGAAAGAAGCAAUUUAUUACCUAUGCUUUCAUACGUCAAAUUCCUGCACCACAACCCUGAGGAGAAAAUGUCACAGAUUGCUUUAUGCAUAAAUGGAUUUGGAGACGCUGCAGCGCUCAGGACAGCUUUCGGAUCCAGUGAAGAGCAUCAUCCAACACAAAGCCAACAGCACUGCAAUCAACAAUAACCAUCAGGACAUCUUUAGUGCCAUUAUGGAUAUUAAACAUCAUCAAGACAAUGUUAUCUGUGCAAUCAAAUACAGUUCCAGCCAAAAGACCAAUGUCAACGGAAUAAUUUAAUUAAAUGAGGAAAUACUUUAA